GCGAGGCGCGAGGCCCGGCGCGCGAGCCCCCGGGGGCGGGUAAAACCCGGUUGCUGCUGCCCUUGCCCCUUUCCCCUUUCUCCCUAGCCCUGCCUGCCCGCCCUUUUCCUCUCACCUCGGCCCUUCUUCACCCUCUCCUUGGCUUCCUCUUCCUCCCGAAGCGCAGGCCUCUGUGGCCCCCUGUCCCAGGACGCCGCUCACCUCCGCGUCGCGCACGCUCCUUCUGCACCCCCGCAGCCCCGUCCUCCUUGGAGAAGACUCUUGGGGUGCCCCCAGCCCACUGCACCCACCUUGAUUUUCUACCCCGCCCCUGCCAGGUCCCCCAACUGCCCCCUCGCAGCGCCCCAGCUCGCGCCGCGGGCCCUACCCGACCUCUGCGCCUUCUGCACCGCGGCCUUGCAUUCGCAGGCCCCACUGCUCACCACCCCCUUCCUCCUCAGGGGUCCCGCUUAGGGGGACCCGGAUGUAGCUCUUUUUUUGAGGAUCUUCCAGCAGGAACAACAAACUCUCCUCUCUUCCUUGGUCAUGCCUCUUCCUGUGCUUUUUCUAGCAAAAAUACUAUUUCUGUCAGUCAAGAUCGCCCCAGUUUCCAGCAAGAAAAUAGAACAAUAAUAAUAUUAUCUAGACGACAAUCCCCCCUUUUGGAAUACUUUUCCAAUUACAAGAAACCAGCUCAUUUACUUCUUCCAGUUUCUCUUCUAAUGUGUUUGCUUCUCCAAACCUCUCUUCUUAAAACUUUCCCAACACAAAUCCCUUUUCAUCAUCAGUUCUGCCUCAGUUAGAUUUUGCCCCCACAAAACCCUUUAGGCUCCUCUUACCUGGCUGGGAUAGUGGGGAAGAAAUAAUUUUUUAAAAGGCAAAAGCUAUUGGAUGAGUUUUCAAAAAUUACCACCUCACCCUUCCAGGAGAUAGUGAAGGUCUGAUUCCACCAGAAUCCUCUUUCCUGUGGGGCCUAAGCCAGGCCCACUUGUUCCCUGGAGAGUCACUCACUUGCUUUCGGGCACCAGGAACCCGCACCAGAAACACAGCUGCCUCUUCAAGAACACUGCUGAGCCAGGGAGUGGGAUCAGCUAGGG